rnacentral:rRNA from 1 species
GAUGAACGCUAGCGGCAGGCCUAAUACAUGCAAGCCGAACGGUAAUUCUGAUAGCAAUAUUGGAACUAGAGUGGCGUAAGGGUGCGUAACACGUAUGCAAUCUACCCGCAACAGGAGGAUAGCUCCCCGAAAGGGGAAUUAACCCUCCAUGAGAUCACACGAGGGCAUCCGAGAGUGAUUAAAUUUGAGGAGGUUGUGGAUGAGCAUGCGACUGAUAGCUAGUUGGCAGUGUAACGGACUACCAAGGCGAUGAUCAGUAGGGGAACUGAGAGGUUGAUCCCCCACACUGGCACU